rnacentral:rRNA from 1 species
GAGUUUGAUCCUGGCUCAGAUUGAACGCUGGCGGCAGGCCUAACACAUGCAAGUCGAGCGGUAGAGAAGAAGCUUGCUUCUUCUUGAGAGCGGCGGACGGGUGAGUAAUGCCUAGGAAUCUGCCUGGUAGUGGGGGACAACGUUUCGAAAGGAACGCUAAUACCGCAUACGUCCUACGGGAGAAAGUGGGGGAUCUUCGGACCUCACGCUAUCAGAUGAGCCUAGGUCGGAUUAGCUUGUAGGUGAGGUAAUGGCUCACCUAGGCAACGAUCCGUAACUGGUCUGAGAGGAUGAUCAGUCACACUGGAACUGAGACACGGUCCAGACUCCUACGGGAGGCAGCAGUGGGGAAUAUUGGACAAUGGGCGAAAGCCUGAUCCAGCCAUGCCGCGUGUGUGAAGAAGGUCUUCGGAUUGUAAAGCACUUUAAGUUGGGAGGAAGGGUUGUAGCUUAAUACGCUGCAACUUUGACGUUACCAACAGAAUAAGCACCGGCUAACUCUGUGCCAGCAGCCGCGGUAAUACAGAGGGUGCAAGCGUUAAUCGGAAUUACUGGGCGUAAAGCGCGCGUAGGCGGCUUGAUAAGAUGGGUGUGAAAUCCCCGGGCUUAACCUGGGAACUGCAUCCAUAACUGUCUGGCUAGAGUACAGUAGAGGGUGGUGGAAUUUCCUGUGUAGCGGUGAAAUGCGUAGAUAUAGGAAGGAACACCAGUGGCGAAGGCGACCACCUGGACUGAUACUGACGCUGAGGUGCGAAAGC